GAUGAACGCUGGCGGCGUGCCUAAUACAUGCAAGUCGAGCGAACGGACGAGAAGCUUGCUUCUCUGAUGUUAGCGGCGGACGGGUGAGUAACACGUGGAUAACCUACCUAUAAGACUGGGAUAACUUCGGGAAACCGGAGCUAAUACCGGAUAAUAUUUUGAACCGCAUGGUUCAAAAGUGAAAGACGGUCUUGCUGUCACUUAUAGAUGGAUCCGCGCUGCAUUAGCUAGUUGGUAAGGUAACGGCUUACCAAGGCAACGAUGCAUAGCCGACCUGAGAGGGUGAUCGGCCACACUGGAACUGAGACACGGUCCAGACUCCUACGGGAGGCAGCAGUAGGGAAUCUUCCGCAAUGGGCGAAAGCCUGACGGAGCAACGCCGCGUGAGUGAUGAAGGUCUUCGGAUCGUAAAACUCUGUUAUUAGGGAAGAACAUAUGUGUAAGUAACUGUGCACAUCUUGACGGUACCUAAUCAGAAAGCCACGGCUAACUACGUGCCAGCAGCCGCGGUAAUACGUAGGUGGCAAGCGUUAUCCGGAAUUAUUGGGCGUAAAGCGCGCGUAGGCGGUUUUUUAAGUCUGAUGUGAAAGCCCACGGCUCAACCGUGGAGGGUCAUUGGAAACUGGAAAACUUGAGUGCAGAAGAGGAAAGUGGAAUUCCAUGUGUAGCGGUGAAAUGCGCAGAGAUAUGGAGGAACACCAGUGGCGAAGGCGACUUUCUGGUCUGUAACUGACGCUGAUGUGCGAAAGCGUGGGGGUCAAACAGG
rnacentral:rRNA from 1 species